rnacentral:lncRNA from 1 species
AUGAGGGAGGAGGAGGUCCCUCUGGCAGGAUUCCAAGGGCAGAGGAGGGCUUUGGAAACUCUCAGUACCAGAUCAGAGCCCUGGCGACAGCCACCGGCCUCCGUGGGACGGGUCUGGGAGAAGCCCUGGCAUAGAAGGUCUGGAGGACUCUGGGAGGAAAAGGAGGCCAGCAGCAGAACCCCGAGUCCGGAGCUGGCUCCCACCUGCUCCUGCCCUCACCCCAGCCUCUCCUCUCUUCCCUCUGCAUGCUCACCCAGGGCCCUCAGAAGCCCAGCCCACAGAGACUGGCAGCAGGAGCUGAGUUUGCACUUGAGCUUGGAGGCCCUGACUCGGGGGGGGGGGGGGGGGGACCUGGGAAGCUCUGCAGAGUCCCCUUUAGGGAGGGCUCACCUCCAGGCCGCCCCUUCUCAGAGGGGUGCUUCCUUGCGUCCUGACCUGGCAGCCUCUGUCUUGGGGCCUCCCUGCCCCCCACCCAGCCCCCGGGGAGAAGCCUGGAGCUGGGGUGCCUGCCUGUUCACACCCUGUUUUGAGUUUGCUUCAAGCCUAAGGCGACUUCCUGUUUCCACCAUCAGGCCCAGGGCGAGAUCAAAGGCGAGGGCUGGUGAGUCCCGGGCGGAGGAAUUGAGGAAGCCCCCUCCUGCCUCUGCGGAAUGGGAGGGUUGGCGUUUAUGUGGAGACCGGGAGCACCGCGAGGCCACAGCCCAAUUCCCAGGGCCCUGGGCCCACGCUCGGCUGUGCCCACUCUGCCUGGACCUCGCCUCCAGGGACCCCUGGUCACGCGGCCCCAGCACCAACCCUGACCCCAUCCCAGGGGCUGCUCCUCUGCUGAAUCCCCGUCGCAUUUUCCGGAGCCUCCUCCGAAAAGCCGGAGCCGCAGCCGGCACAGCAAGAUACCCCUGGGCUGCGGGCCCGCCCCCUCCCCUGCGCGGCGGGCGGGCGGGCGUGGCCGGGCGGGGCGGACGCACGGGCGCGGGGGCCGCGGUGCGGCCAUCACUCUCGCACUCACGCGGGAGGAAUGCAGACGGCAGGGCUGCCCUGUGGUCACGUCUCCGCCCCACCGACGGAGGUAGGCGCCCAGGUACCCAGCCUGUGGGCCUUGGGAGCCCGCCAAGCUGCUGA